UGAGGAAUAUUGGUCAAUGGGCGAGAGCCUGAACCAGCCAAGUAGCGUGCAGGAUGACGGCCCUAUGGGUUGUAAACUGCUUUUAUAUGGGAAUAAAGUGAGGGACGUGUCCCUUAUUGCAUGUACCAUAUGAAUAAGGACCGGCUAAUUCCGUGCCAGCAGCCGCGGUAAUACGGAAGGUCCGGGCGUUAUCCGGAUUUAUUGGGUUUAAAGGGAGCGUAGGCUGUCUAUUAAGCGUGUUGUGAAAUAUACCGGCUCAACCGGUGGCUUGCAGCGCGAACUGGUCGACUUGAGUAUGCAGGAAGUAGGCGGAAUUCAUGGUGUAGCGGUGAAAUGCUUAGAUAUCAUGACGAACUCCGAUUGCGCAGGCAGCUUACUGUGGCAUAACUGACGCUGAUGCUCGAAAGUGCGGGUAUCAAACAGG
rnacentral:rRNA from 1 species